rnacentral:rRNA from 1 species
GAUGAACGCUAGCUACAGGCUUAACACAUGCAAGUCGAGGGGCAUCACAGUGUAGCAAUACACGGGUGGCGACCGGCGCACGGGUGCGUAACACGUAUCCAAUCUGCCCGUUACUCGGGGAUAGCCUUCUGAAAGGAAGAUUAAUACCCGAUGGCAUGUAUUUCCGGCAUCGGAGAUACAUUAAAGAUUUAUCGGUAACGGAUGAGGAUGCGUACGAUUAGCUUGUUGGCGGGGUAACGGCCCACCAAGGCUACGAUCGUUAGGGGUUCUGAGAGGAAGGUCCCCCACACUGGAACUGAGACACGGUCCAGACUCCUACGGGAGGCAGCAGUGAGGAAUAUUGGUCAAUGGACGAGAGUCUGAACCAGCCAAGUAGCGUGCAGGAUGACGGCCCUCUGGGUUGUAAACUGCUUUUAGUUGGGAAUAAAAGAGGGACGUGUCCCUAAUUGUAUGUACCAUCAGAAAAAGGACCGGCUAAUUCCGUG